CCUACGGGUGGCAGCAGUAGGGAAUAUUGCUCAAUGGGGGAAACCCUGAAGCAGCAACGCCGCGUGGAGGAUGAAGGUUUUCGGAUUGUAAACUCCUUUUGUUAGAGAAGAUAAUGACGGUAUCUAACGAAUAAGCACCGUCUAACUCCGUUCCAGCAGCCGCGGUACUACGGAGGGUGCAAGCGUUACUCGGAAUCACUGGGCGUAAGGAGCGCGUAGGCGGGAUAGCAAGUCAGAUGUGAAAUCCUAUGGCUUAACCAUAGAACUGCAUUUGAAACUGUUAUUCUAGAGUAUGGUAGAGGUAGGUGGAAUUCUUGGUGUAGCGGUAAAAUCCGUAGAGAUCAAGAGGAAUACUCAUUGCGAAGGCGACCUGCUAGACCAUAACUGACGCUGAUGCGCGAAAGUGUGGGGAGCAAACAGGAUUAGAUACCCUGGUAGUC
rnacentral:rRNA from 1 species